rnacentral:rRNA from 1 species
UAUGGUGACUAUAACGCUAGGGUCCACCUCUUCCCAUUUCGAACAGAGAAGUUAAGCCUAGUUGUGCCGAUGGUACUAGAGUGAUAUCUGGAAGAGUAGGUAGUUGCCGCCC